rnacentral:rRNA from 1 species
UCGAGAAUCUUCCGCAAUGGGCGAAAGCCUGACGGAGCGACACCGCGUGCAGGAUGAAGGCCUUCGGGUCGUAAACUGCUGUCACGCCAUAGGAAUGGCGCGUCGUUAAUAGCGGCGCGCUUGACCAAAGCGAGAGGAAGCACCGGCUAACUCCGUGCCAGCAGCCGCGGUAAGACGGAGGGUGCGAACGUUGUUCGGAAUCACUGGGCAUAAAGAGCACGUAGGCGGCCAGGUCAGUCCGGUGUGAAAGCCCCCGGCUCAACCGGGGAACUGCACCGGAUACUGCUUGGCUCGAGGACGGUUGGGGUGAGUGGAACUCCUGGUGGAGCGGUGAAAUGCGUAGAUAUCAGGAGGAACACCGGUGGCGAAAGCGGCUCACUGGACCGUCUCUGACGCUGAGGUGCGAAAGCUAGGGUAGCGAACGGGAUUAGAUACCCCUGUAGUCC